rnacentral:rRNA from 1 species
GACGUAGGGCGCAAGCGUUGUCCGGAUUUAUUGGGCGUAAAGAGCUCGUAGGCGGUUUGUUGCGUCUAUCGUGAAAACCUGCAGCUUAACUGUGGGCUUGCGGUGGAUACGGGCAGACUUGAGUUCGGUAGGGGAGACUGGAAUUCCCGGUGUAGAGGUGAAAUUCGUAGAUAUCGGGAGGAACACCGGUGGCGAAGGCGGCGACCUGGGUCGAUACUGACGCUCAUGCACGAAAAGCGUGGGGAGCAAACAGG